GGAUCUUUAUCUUUAUUGCUGAUACCUUUCCUAAUCCAUAUCCAGAUACAACUCAAGCCCAUGCUAUUAGUCCAAUUUCACUUUUAAAAGGUUUUUCAUAUCUUCAACUUGGUCAAGCUUGGUCUGGCACUCUUUUGCACUAAUUUUUCCAUCUUCCCUUUUCAGAUAAGAUAGUUCUGAUCUAUUUAAUGAUAAAUGUUACUUUUGUGUAUCACCCAAAUGGGUUAUCUAUAUGGUGAACAAAAUGGAUAAGCAGAAAAAUAAAAAUUAAUUAAUUCUACAAAGUCAGUGCCAAAUCCAUUGUUAAUUUCCAAAUCCCACAAAAUUCUAUGGUCAACGAAAU
rnacentral:misc_RNA from 1 species